UUUACGGGAGGCAGCAGUAGGGAAUAUUGCGCAAUGGGGGAAACCCUGACGCAGCGACGCCGCGUGAGUGACGAAGGCCUUCGGGUCGUAAAGCUCUGUGCAGGGGAAUAAGACAGUGAAUGUACCCUGUGAGAAGGAUCGGCUAACUUCGCCGCACCCUAAGACGAGGAUCCCAGCGUUGUUCGGAAUCAUGGGCGAGCGGUGUAGGUGGUUAAUAAGUCAGUGUGAAAGCCCAGGGCUCAACCCUGGAAGUGCAUUUGAUAUUUAGGCUUGAGUGUGGGAGAGGAUAGUAGAAUUCCUGGUGUAGUGGUGAAAUAGUAGAUAUCGGGAGGAAUACCGGAGGCGAAGGCGGCUAUCUGGCCCAACACUGACACUCAGACCCGAAAGCGUGGGGAUCAAACAGGAUUAGAUACCCUGGUAGUCCACGCUGUAAACGAUGGACACUUGUUGUUGGAGGUAUUGACCCCUUCAGUGACGAAGCUAACGCGUUAAGUGUCCCGCCUGGGGAGUACGGUCGCAAGAUUAAAACUCAAAGAAAUUGACGGGGGCCCGCACAAGCGGUGGAGCAUGUGGUUUAAUUCGAUGCAACUAACCUUACCUGGGCUUGACAUGAACUGGAAGG
rnacentral:rRNA from 1 species